UACAAUGGCAGGUACAGAGGGAUGCUACCGGGCGACCGGAUGCGGAUCUCGAAAGCCUGUCCCAGUUCGGACUGGAGUCUGCAACCCGACUCCACGAAGUUGGAUUCGCUAGUAAUCGCGCAUCAGCCAUGGCGCGGUGAAUACGUUCCCGGGCCUUGUACACACCGCCCGUCAAGCCAUGGGAGCCGGGGGCGCCUGAAGUCCGUGACCGCGAGGGUCGGCCUAGGGUGAAACCGGUGAUUGGGGCUAAGUCGUAACAAGGUAUC
rnacentral:rRNA from 1 species